rnacentral:lncRNA from 1 species
CUGGGGUUAUCAACAUGAUUUUUGGCUUCGUUGAUGGUAAGGAGGGUAGAGGACUGAAUUGAGGUGGUAGAGAGACAGUGUGUGAGAUAUUGUUUCAUUUUUUGAUAGUCAUACUCCUCAUAAUGGCACUGUCAUUAUAUCACUGACGAUAGCAAGCCAUGAUAUAAAAAGAAUUCUAGUUGAUAAUGAAGGUUCAACUUGUUGGGAAUAUGUCCUAAAGUCAAUUAUCU